GCGGCAGUGGCUCAGUUGUAGAGUCCUCCCUCUGCAUGCGGGGAGACCUGGGUUCAAUUCCCGGCUGCUUCC
rnacentral:tRNA from 1 species